CAAAUCUGAAGCAUUCUGCAACUGGAGUGUCUCCAGGGUUGAAGAGACAAAUGCGAGAGAAAAUUGGAAACAUCGGGAAAUAUGAAACUUGGAUGUUUCCUAACUGUUUGUUUCGAUCAUCUUCUAUUCUUAUCUUUUCUUU
rnacentral:ribozyme from 16 species